AAUAUUUACAUAUAUUAAUGCACUAUAAUUAUUUUUUGUGGUUUAUAGGAGAGAUUUAUUUGAAGAAAUAUUACAACAUAUAAAAACUACAUAAAGUCUUAAUUCCACUCAUACAGUAGAUUUGAUAUAAUGCAUAAUAAAAACCUUUUAAAAUCCAGAACGCACAAAGUACUGCACAAUUUGAUUACUAAAUCAUUAGCUGAUAAGCAAACCUCACACAACAGCUUCAUGGCAGCCAAGGCCACAAACACCAUGUACCACACAUGUGAACGGACGGAUGGACCUGUUAAAACACAACAUCAGUGCAUGUUGGGGAUUCCUGGUGCCAGAAACAUGGGUGACGGGAGGGCAACACUAGUCCUUAGCAGCUUCCUUCUCCUUUAUUUUAGCUGAGACACUCUCUCGGGCUUUGGCCAACACACAGAGCUUGAUCUCCAAGCAGAUGGCUUUGGCCAGGGAGGCGGCCCGGCAUUGCCCAUCUGCCGGUGCUUGUCCAGGAUAUUGCCAAAGAGCCGGUAGGCGUCGGGGAAGCCCUGGGAGCAGGCACACUCCCGCACACUCACCACACGGUGUUGCUCGGGGUGGAGCACGUGGCCCUGCUUGCCCAUGGGCUCGGGGUUGGUGACGGUUAUGCUGAAGAAGCCGUCCCACUUGAGCCUUCAGUAGAGGCCAGCCCUGUGGUUUUGCAGGUUCCCAGUGUGGGGCAGGCACCAGGGGAUGAGGGUGUUGAACUACCUAGCUGCAGGGUCACAGGCUUUGCUGGCUUCCACACAGGAGCAGACCCCAUGGAGGGCCCUGGAGCUGCCACGACCGUUCUUCCUGUCUUGGUGGGUGUACCGCAGCUUCCGGGCCAUGGUGCCGUCCGAGCCGCACUUCAAUGUUGGGCAGAUCUCGCCAUUGGUGGGCGGCCACCAAUGCACUCAUGUCCUUACAGAUGUGGUCCUUGAGGAUGGGCUGGUACUGUAUGCCCCAGAGCUGCCUUUAGAACCAGGACUGAGGCUCCCCAUUGCAGGAGAUCUCCAGCGCCGAGGCUCCGUUACGCACCUCCAGCAGGUGUUUCCCAGGCUGGCUUAA
rnacentral:lncRNA from 13 species